AAACUGUGGAUUAAAGAUUGUCCUGUUUUGAGUGAAAGAUGCAAACCGGAAAGCGGAGAGGAUUGGCCCAACAUUGCUCAUGUCUCUCGUAUAUAUCUGGACGGUGAUGAAGUUUCAUCUAAACAAUCAUCGGCCCCAUGAUUUGGGCAUAUCUCCAUUUUAUUGGUAUUGGGACUGGAUGGAAGUACAGUUGCUGUAAUCCCUGAAAUAGAGUGGAGGGGGUGUGCUUGGGCUUGGCUUCUCAUUUCUCCUACUUGUUGGCUUGUAUUAUGUCUACCUACUUGUGUUAUGAACAUACAUACUUGAUGUUUGUUAAUGUACUUAAAUUCCUUUGCUUUGGAUUGUUCAUGUGAUCCCUACUCUUUAUUUGUUGGUUUGUUGUAUUGCCUUUGGAUUCAAAA